rnacentral:rRNA from 1 species
UACGAAGGGUGCUAGCGUUGUUCGGAAUCAUUGGGCGUAAAGCGUGCGUAGGCGGUUUAGUAAGUCAGCUGUGAAAGCCCAGGGCUCAACCUUGGAAUUGCAGUUGAAACUACUAGACUAGAGUAUGGCGGGGGAUAGUGGAAUUCUUAGUGUAGGGGUGAAAUCCGUAGAUAUUAAGAGGAACACCAGUGGCGAAAGCGACUAUCUACACCAUUACUGACGCUCAGGUACGAAAGCGUGGGUAGCAAACAGG